rfam:Callithrix jacchus chromosome 5, whole genome shotgun sequence
GCCAGGCGUAGCAGUGUGCACCUGUAAUCCAAGCUACCCAGGAGGCUGAGGCAGGAGAAUCGCUUGAACCCGGGAGGCAUAGGUUGCAGUGAGCCAAGAUCGUGCCACUGCACUCCAGCCUGGGUGACAGAGUGAGUCUCUGUCUCAA